GUGACGAAGUGGCAACGCCCCAAGUUUUAAUGGUGAAAAGCAAAUGCUUCAUUGAGCCUCAAAAGGCUGCCUCCUGGAAAUAAUGCCUCAGGAAAAAAAGCGGAGUGUGUGGCAGAAAUGUGAGGGGAAAAUGAUGAGGAAUGCGCCCUCUUGCCUCAAUAAUUCUAGUGUGACCAUUUGUCGUACCAGAUGAUUGCCCCACUUGACAUCUGUUGCAGAAGUCAUCUGAAGCGCAGCCUCUUCCGGAGGGAGGAAACAUUUUGUUGCGAAAUGAGUUACCACUUCUCUAUGGAAAAAAAAAAAGACUGAAGUUACGAAGAGAGAGACAGCCAUAGUGCACUCACAGUAAAACGCACGUACAGACCCCAAAUCCGGUCAAAACCCUGGAUCCACCUGCUAAUAUAUAGGACUAGGAAACCCACAGAGCAGGGGAGGAUGUUCAACUACGCAGCAGAAGUGCACCAGCAAGAUCCUGACGGUGAUUUAUCUUCAGGCAAUCAUACCAGUUCUUCUAGAAAGACACUAUCCAGUCUGCUGUGAAAUGCCCAGAGCAGGGAAACGCUUUAGGAAUGAUUCAUGGACACCGUGUCACAGACCGUCUAUGGACGUCGGGAUCCGUGAUAAAAGGAUGCGUGCAGCUUACACUGAACCCUCUAUACCCGAAACUUUGUAGCACUGGAGGAAAAGAUGCCGUGAGGAGGAGCGGAUUUAACUAGCUAGAGAGCGCCUGAGAAACAGCGUGGGACAAAAGCAGGACUCCACUGAAUUUACAGGAGCGCCUCUUGAACCACAAAGAAAAGCAUCUGAUGGGAUCUCCCUAAAACAUCUCUCAGAAAGCCUGCCAAAUGCCUUUCCCAGUGCGUGACAACACUGUGCUUCGCAUCCACGCCGCACUUUCAAGGUCGGCUUCCAUCUGCUCCCCAACCAGGGAGUUCUCUGACCUUUGCUUCUUGUUUCAAAAACUCUCCUACCUGCCCGGAGGGCCUGGGUGACAGUCUGAUGAUGCAUCAGCUCAAAUUUGUCUAAUUUACUGGAAAACAACUCAAAGUACAGGUUUUGGCCUCACAAAAGUUGUGUUCAACCAAAUAAUUUUAAAUGCAUUAGAGGGAUUAAAUAUUUAAAGGACGAUUUCCGUGUAACCAGGAUUUCUAAACUCCGGGUACAUUUUUAGAACAAGUGGAUGGCAGAAAAAAAAAAAAACCCCAAAAACCAAAAAACAAAAAAUAAACAAACAAAAAAAGAUUUA